rnacentral:rRNA from 1 species
UACGUAGGGCGCAAGCGUUGUCCGGAAUUAUUGGGCGUAAAGAGCUCGUAGGCGGUCAGUCGCGUCUGCUGUGAAAACCCGAGGCUCAACCUCGGGCCUGCAGUGGGUACGGGCUGACUAGAGUGCGGUAGGGGAGACUGGAAUUCCUGGUGUAGCGGUGGAAUGCGCAGAUAUCAGGAGGAACACCGAUGGCGAAGGCAGGUCUCUGGGCCGCAACUGACGCUGAGGAGCGAAAGCAUGGGGAGCGAACAGG